UUAAACAUGGCACCUGGGGCCGGUUGCAUAAACAUAGCCAUUAUCUUAAGACUAAGAAUAAGCCUGACCAACUAAAGUCAGUGGGGAAAGACUGUUGCAUAAAACAAGUGCAUGGUUGUCUUUAGUAAGACAGUCUAAUUUGCACUGCAUUGUGGGAAAAGUAAGACGCUAAACAGCUUAAACAAAAUGGCCGACAGUGGGCGCUCGUCGCAGUUUUCCUUUGCUGAAAAUAUUUGCAUAUUGGAGGAAUACAAUGCUGCAAAAUCGAUUUUAAUGAACAAAUUUAGCGAUUACAAUGCCAACAAUAAAAAACACAAGGCUUGGUCCACAAUAACGGAUAAAGUUAAUAGUAUAAAUCCUUCUGUCCCGCGGACCGUCAAAGAUGUAACUUACAGAAAUGGUUUAAAAACAUGGUGCAGGAAGCAAAGAAGGAAAUAUUCAAACGAAAAAAAAACAGCAACGGGAGGAGGACCAAGUGCAAAAUUAAAAAAAAAAAAAAACAGAAAUUAUCAUUGAAAUAUAUGGCGAUGAAUCGCCAAUGUUUUGGGGAAUCCCUGGAGGGAGGGAGAGCGGAGUUUCCUGCGUGACUUCACCUGCUGCUGGGGAAAAUACAUCGCCUCACACAGCUGUUGCAUCAGCGUCGCUUGGACAGUCUCCUGAUUGCGAGGUAACGUUAACGUUGGUCACUGAAGAAGCGCCAGUGACAAGUCAGGACCAAACAACACAAGCUAUUGUUGGAAAGGCGGGGCUUAGGACACCUGUCGAUCGAAGCCAUGAUGC